AUUGAACGCUGGCGGCAUGCUUUACACAUGCAAGUCGAACGGUAACAGGCCUUCGGGUGCUGACGAGUGGCGAACGGGUGAGUAAUGCAUCGGAACGUACCCAGAGGUGGGGGAUAACGCAGCGAAAGCUGUGCUAAUACCGCAUGUGAUCUGAGGAUGAAAGCGGGGGACCGAGCAGCAAUGUUUGGCCUCGCGCCUUUGGAGCGGCCGAUGUCGGAUUAGCUAGUUGGUGGGGUAAAGGCCUACCAAGGCGACGAUCCGUAGCUGGUCUGAGAGGACGACAAGCCACACGGGGACUGAGACACGGCCCAGACGCCUACGGGAGGCAGCAGUGGGGAAUUUUGGACAAUGGGCGCAAGCCUGAUCCAGCAAUGCCGCGUGCGGGAAGAAGGCCUUCGGGUUGUAAACCGCUUUUGGCAGGAACGAAACGGUGUCCGCUAAUACCGGGCGCUAAUGACGGUACCUGCAGAAUAAGCACCGGCUAACUACGUG
rnacentral:rRNA from 1 species